rfam:Zea mays cultivar B73 chromosome 6, whole genome shotgun sequence.
ACUCUCGUAUUCACCUCAAUCCAUGUGUAUUGAGGUGGAUUGAUGUGUAACUUAAAUUAAUUUACACCUCAAUCCACUUCAAUACAUAUGAAUUGAGGUGAAUACGAGA